AAAAUGUAAUUCUAGAUGUUUGUUAUUUCAACAUAUUAUUCUAUAUCAGUUUGACGAUAGAUGACUGAAGUUGUUGUUAUAACAUAGAAUUACAAGUUAAAAACGUCCCAAUUACACCAAAAAAAGCUAACUUAAAAACUCAUGUCCAGCUAAAUCAGCAACUUAUGUGAACUUGACAAUGUGGGUAAGUUGAGCACAGCAGGAUUCAAAACUGUCCCACGUGACUGCUAUCGAGGUGCAUCAUGGGGAAUUGGCGGUUAACGACAUGCUCACUUUACUUGGACGUUUUCUAAUAGUCUUCUUUGGAAUCUGCUUUCAAGGUUGAAGCAGAAUUUGCCCGUCUUACAUCUGUUGACCUGAAAGGGUUCCUUUUUGCUGUGCUUGACCAUUAUGGAGAGGUUCGUGGAGCUGUACAAAAUCAAGAGCAGCAUAGGAGGGCUGACUAGGCUCAUAAAAUGCUUCGGUGAUGAUAGCCCUACACAAAGGAAGAGGACAGAGGACCUCACACACUCUCAAGACUGUGAAGGUUAGCAUUGUUUCUUUUAGUAAAUUUAAUAAUGACAGCACCACAGUGGAUUUUAAAUUAAACACGUGGCAUCUAUUGUUUCAUAGAUUCCACGUGUUUAGAACAUCUGUUCUUCCUCACCAAAUGUAUUAUUACAAGAUCUUUGAC